rnacentral:rRNA from 1 species
GACGAACGCUGGCGGCGUGCUUAACACAUGCAAGUCGAGCGGUAAGGCCCUUUCGGGGGUACACGAGCGGCGAACGGGUGAGUAACACGUGGGUGACCUGCCCUCAGCUCUGGGAUAAGCCUGGGAAACCGGGUCUAAUACCGGAUAUGACUCCAUGACGCAUGUUGUGGGGUGAAAGCCUUGUGCGGCUGAGGAUGGGCCCGCGGCCUAUCAGCUUGUUGGUGGGGUGANGGCCUACCAAGGCGACGACGGGUAGCCGGCCUGAGAGGGCGACCGGCCACACUGGGACUGAGACACGGCCCAGACUCCUACGGGAGGGCAGCAGUGGGGAAUCUUGCGCAAUGGGCGAAAGCCUGACGCAGCGACGCCGCGUGAGGGAUGACGGCCU